ensembl:lncRNA
CCGGUGACUGGCUGCUGCAGCCAAUGAUGCGAUUCACAUACGUAUUUACCAUAGACUGUAUAUAAUGGUAUUUACGCAGCUAAUCAAUGUCAGGCGUCCUUAUGUGCAGCCACCGUUGUUCUCAUAGAUAUGAAUGAGUAAAUAGGACACGCCCCUUUGAGCUGCGUGCUACAGCGAGGCUAAGCUAGUGGGGCAAAGUUUCAGUGCAUUCCGUUGAUGUAGACGGCGUGAAAACGGAAACAAGUAUGCCGUCUCACUGUGCUGCAUACAAUUACACACUACGUCGUACGAUUGAGACAAGGAAACUUGGAAUGGCUUUUCAUAGGUUUCCCAGAGACUAUGGGUUGAGGAGGAAUUGGAAGUUUGUCGGCUUAGACCUGGUGUCAUUCCAUCAGUGUUAAACUUCCCGGCUCAUCUUUGAAGAGUAUGUGCCAGAAAGACCACGACCAAGCAGCCUUGAGAUCUUAGGUAGCGUCUCCCUGAGUCGCUGUAAAAAGUCAGUCCAUCCUGGCCGACUUCACCACCUCUUCAUGACAACUUGUUCUGCCUCCGACCUGGUGGAAACUCGGGAAAACCCGUGGAGACUCGAAGAACUCGUGGAGACUCGAAAAACUCGUCGGGCGGGGGAAGGUGUGG